rnacentral:rRNA from 1 species
ACGUAGACAUCUCUCCCAGUUCGAGAGAACAAUCAGGCCAGCUCUACCUGAGGCAAGGUCAGACUCCCUCGGGAGAACCUUUAAAAAUAUUAAACAAUAGGGGAACUUGAAGAAGACCGCGGAUUCAAGACGAAGGCCAGAGGUCGUUAAUGUGUUUAUAAGUAAAGAAUAGAACGCUAACUUAGAAAUAAGCACUGCUUAUUUUUGUGCAGCAAGCCGAGAUCAUAGGUAAGGUGCAAGCAUAUCCCGAGUGACUGGGCGUAAAGAGGUGAGUAGGUGGUUUGUUAAGUAGAUAGUGAAAUUCGGGCGGCUCAACCGUACAAGCUAAUGAUCUAAACUGGCAGACUCGAGAAUGGUAGAGGUUACCUGGAUUUCUUGUGUAGGAGUGAAAUCCGUAGAUAUAAGAAAGGAACACCAAUGGCGUAGGCAGGUUACUGGACCAUUUCUGACACUGAGGCACGAAAGCGUGGGGAGCGAACGGGAUUAGAUACCCCGGUAGUCCACGCCGUAAACUAUGGAUACUAGCUGUUGGAGGUAUCGACCCCUCCAGUAGCGAAGCUAACGCGUUAAGUAUCCCGCCUGUGGAGUACGGUCGCAAGACUAAAACAUAAAGGAAUUGACGGGGACCCGCACAAGCGGUGGAUUGUGUUCUUUAAUUCGAUGAUAAACGAAGAACCUUACCAGGGUUUGACAUCCCAAGAAUUAUGUCGAAAGACGUGAGUGCUUUAUUGAACUUGGUGACAGGUGAUGCAUGGCCGUCGUCAGCUCGUGUCGUGAGAUGUUUGGUUAAGUCCAUUAACGAGCGCAACCCUUGUGAUUAGUUGAAUUUUUCUAAUCAGACUGCCCCGGCAACGGGGAGGAAGGAGGGGAUGAUGUCAGGUCAGUAUUUCCCUUACAUCCUGGGCUAGAAACGCAAUACAAUGGCCAGUACAAUGCGCAGCGAAGCCGCGAGGUGAAGCAAAUCGCAUCAAAGCUGGUCCCAGUUCGGAUAAGAGGCUGAAACUCGCCUCUUUGAAGUCGGAAUCGCUAGUAAUCGCAGAUCAGCAAGCUGCGGUGAAUACGUUCCCGGGUCUUGUACACACCGCCCGUCAAACCAUGAAAGUGACCAACACCCGAAGUCCGAUUCGUCUUACCUAACGGUCUACUAUAGUAAGUGA